CACACACACAUCACACACACACACACACACAUCACAUAUCACACACAUCACACACACACAAAUCACACACACACAUAUACACAAAAAUCACAUACACAUCACACACACACACAUCACAUCACACACACACACACACAGAGAGAUACACACACACACACAAGAAACACACAGAGACAGGGACACGCAUCAUGUCACACAUAUUACAUACACAUAGAUCACAUCACACACAAAUUUCACACAUACACAAAUAUAAACAGACACAUGAGACACACAGAGACAGAGGCACACAUCACAUCACACACACACAUCACAUAC
rnacentral:lncRNA from 1 species